ensembl:lncRNA
UGUCGAAUGAGCUGCAGCCAUGCAUCUAAACAUUCUAUUACUGUUAUAACGUCAUGCAUUGGAACACAGAAAGUGUAGUCUUUAGUUCUUGUGUGUGACCAGGACAAAGGAAUUCUUCCCAUGAAGGUGAGUUCGAUAACCCAACUGUUUCUUACAAUCUAAAAUAAAUAUUCUUUCAUUAUAAAAUCAGAUGUUUCAUUUGAUUACAACCUACAAUCACUGUAUUUCUGAUACUGGUCUUCUGUGUUUUGUGUAUUCUUGACCCUUUUCAUGUACUGUUUGAGCCCCUACUAUGGCAAAUGGGGGGUCAUGUGAAAACAUUAAAUGAAAAAAGUAAGUUUAAUAACCCAAAUGUUUCUUACAAUAUAAAAUCAGAAAGUUUUGUUUGAAUAAAAUCACUGUAUUUCUGAUACUGGUCUUCCAUUUUUUUUCUCUUUUUUUUCUAUGCAUGACUAUCUUCUACAUGCCACUGUUUGAGCUCCUACUAUGGUAAAUGUGGGUCAUGUGACAACAUUAAAUUAACAAGGUAAGGUCAAUAACCCAAAUGUUUCUUACAAUAUUCAGUCUGAAUGCCUUUUAUUUGAAUACACCACAAAAUCACUGUAUUUCUGAAACUGUUCUUCUAUGUUUCUUUCUAUGCUUGACUUCCUUCAUUCACAUGUGACUGUUUGAGCCUAUACUGUGCUAAAUAUGGGCAAUGUGACAACAGUAUAUUAACAAGCCCCUGCUAUAGUAAAUGUGGGUCAUGUGUCAACAUUAACAAGGUAAUGCCAAUAACCAAAAAGUUUCUUUUAAUAUAGAACCAGAUGCUUCAUUCGAAUACACCAUAAAAUCACUGUAUUUCUGAUACUGGUCAUGUAUGUUUUUUUCUAUGCUUUACUCUCUUCAUCUACAUGCAACUGUCUGAGUCCCUACUGCCAACAGGGCAACUUCAUCGAGAAGGUAGACAUGACACCUUCCACAAACUUCAUUAACUUCCAUCCAUCCAGUCUGCUGAGAUUGCUACUUUGUUGCAUCGCUAUCUUCAAGAAACAGCUGAAGACACACACCUCUUCAUCAAGCAUUUACUUUCAGGAAUCCACAAUCAUAAUUAAAAGCACUUUGUAUAAAUUGUAUUUACAGAAGGUGCUGGAACCCUAUUGUAUUUGUACACUUUUGCCAAUUAUUCUUUUUUCUACCCUAAAGAUCCCAAGAGCCUUAUGAGGAAAGAUUUAAGCCAAUUAAAUUGUCUGGAACUGGCAAUUUUGACUAAUCUGCUCAAUGCAACGUCCAUCCUUAAUGAAACUUGAUACACUUUGACAAAAUGAAAUUAUGGCUGCACAAGAAGUUGUGUCAAAAUGAGUGCAUGUGGGGC